rnacentral:tRNA from 3 species
GGGCCCGUGGACCAGCCUGGAGUGGUCGGCUCCCUGUCACGGAGCAGAUCGAGGGUUCAAAUCCCUCCGGGCCCG